AGUGAACGCUGGCGGUAGGCCUAACACAUGCAAGUCGAACGGCAGCACAGUAAGAGCUUGCUCUUACGGGUGGCGAGUGGCGGACGGGUGAGGAAUACAUCGGAAUCUACUUUUUCGUGGGGGAUAACGUAGGGAAACUUACGCUAAUACCGCAUACGACCUACGGGUGAAAGCAGGGGAUCUUCGGACCUUGCGCGAUUGAAUGAGCCGAUGUCGGAUUAGCCAGUUGGCGGGGUAAAGGCCCACCAAGGCGACGAUCCGUAGCUGGUCUGAGAGGAUGAUCAGCCACACUGGAACUGAGACACGGUCCAGACUCCUACGGGAGGCAGCAGUGGGGAAUAUUGGACAAUGGGCGCAAGCCUGAUCCAGCCAUACCGCGUGGGUGAAGAAGGCCUUCGGGUUGUAAAGCCCUUUUGUUGGGAAAGAAAAGCAGCAGGUUAAUACCCCGCUGUUCUGACGGUACCCAAAGAAUAAGCACCGGCUAACUUCGU
rnacentral:rRNA from 1 species